UACGUAGGGGGCAAGCGUUGUCCGGAUUUAUUGGGCGUAAAGAGCGUGUAGGCGGCCAGGGAGGUCCGUUGUGAAAACUCGAGGCUCAACCUCGAGACGCCGAUGGAAACCCCCUGGCUAGAGUCCGGAAGAGGAGAAUGGAAUUCCUGGUGUAGCGGUGAAAAUGCGCAGAUAUCAGGAAGAACACCCGUGGCUAAGGCGGUUCUCUAGUACGGUACUGACGCUGAGACGCGAAAGCGUGGGGAGCGAACAGG
rnacentral:rRNA from 1 species